UACAGAGGUUUCAAGCGUUGUUCGGAUUCAUUGGGCGUAAAGGGUGCGUAGGUGGCGUGGUAAGUCGGAUGUGAAAUCCCGGGGCUCAACCCCGGAACUGCAUUCGAUACUGCCAUGCUAGAGUACUGGAGAGGAGAUUGGAAUUUACGGUGUAGCAGUGAAAUGCGUAGAUAUCGUAAGGAAGACCAGUGGCGAAGGCGGAUCUCUGGACAGUUACUGACACUGAGGCACGAAGGCCAGGGGAGCAAACGGG
rnacentral:rRNA from 1 species